rnacentral:lncRNA from 1 species
UAGUGGGGAGCCUGAAAGCUAUGAUGGUGUUCCGAGAGGAAAUACAAAUUAAUCAGAGACAAUGUUGUUUGUUACUCGAUAUGUUCAGCUUUGCAUACGAAACGAUUGCAGAGGAGAUGAAACAAAACCUGAGAUUUGAAGAGAAGAAUACAAAAUGGAAAGUUAUCGUGCAUCCUUUGAAAGAGCUUCACAGGGUAUUUAGAGAAGGAAUGGUAUAUAUCAAGCAAUGCAUAGAAACUAGGGAAUGCUGGGCUAAAGCAAUUACCCUUCAUCAGAACAAAGAUUGCGUAGAAUUUCACAUCCACAAUUUGCUAAGCUGCAUUCCGGUUGUCAUUGAAGCCAUUGAAAUUGCUG